AUUGGUUUCACUUGAUCUCGAAUGAUCUGAAAUUGGAAACCACUACUUUUUGCAAGCUUGUUGAAAACCUAACCAAUUUGAGAGAAUUUGACUUGAGCUCUGUGAAUUUGUCCUUGGUUGCUCCUAGUUCCUUCAUGAAUUUGUCUUUUUCUUCUAAAGCUCGAGUAUUGUGGAUUGCAAGUGAACUUCGUAGAUUACAUUCAUUCAUCCACAUUGAUUUCACUUGAUCUAUCUUCUAAUUAUGAUUUGGUACUAGAUACAAUCAUGUUCAACAAACUUGUUCAAAACCUACCAAAUUUAAGAGAAGUUGAUUUGAGCUCUAUAAAUAUGUCUUUGGUUGAACCUAUUUCCUUGAUGAACUUGUCUUCUUCAUUGUCAUCUCUCCAACUCUUGAAUUGUGGAUUGCAAGGGGAAUUCCCAAGCAACUUG
rnacentral:misc_RNA from 1 species